CUUCUUCCUUCGUGACUAUCAGAUUCAUUUUUUCGUUUUCUUCUUCGACUAGUUUCUGUCGAGUCGUCGAGGUCAUAAGCUGGACUACGUGUAUGGGGACUCGACAGGGAAGAAAGAGAAAACAGUCUGUCUGAUUCCGAAUAGUCUGCACGACGGCGGAGGUUUGAUGCAUUGUUUUUUAAAAGACCUUCGAAUCCACGAAUAAUGUUGCCAGUACCCGAUGUUUUUUCUAAGUAACUGCCUUCCAGCCUAUAGAUAGAGUCCUCGAGACCUAUUAACGAAGUUUCCAACAAUUGUCGCUUUUCAAUCAUUUCAUGAAGCUCCUUUUUGCACUGUUCAUAAUAGGAAACAUUCACGGGCUGUUAAGUUUUAGAAUUAUUAG